rnacentral:lncRNA from 1 species
ACUGACAUUAAUGAAAAUCCUUGCUGCAUUUGUCCCAUGGCUAAACAACAUCGCCUUCCUUUUCCUACCAGCACACAUAUGAGCACCAGAAUUUUUCAACUUAUUUCUUGUGAUAUAUGGGGGCCUUGUUCUGUUCCUGCACAUGAUGGAUCCAAGUACUUUCUUACUAUUGUGGAUCAUUUCUCUCGAAGUACUUGGGUCUAUUUACUAAAAACAAAAUCUGAAACUCGCCACUGCAUAGAGACUUUUUGUAACCUUGUUGAGAACCAGUUUGAUGUCAAAAUCAAAAUCUUAAGAAGUGAUAAUGGGGCAGAGUUUAAAAUGACAGAUUUCUUUUGUAAAAGGGGUAUUUUGCAUCAAACUAGCUGUGUGGAAACACCACAGCAAAAUGCUAUUGUUGAACGUAAGCACCAGCACCUUUUAAACAUUGCGAGAGCACUUAGGUUCCAAGCUUCACUUCCUAUGAAGUUUUGGAAUGAAUGCAUUUUAACUGCUGCUUACAUUAUCAAUAGAAUCCCUUCUCCUGUGCUGUCAAAUAAAACCCCCUUUGAGUUACUUUUCAAUAGAAAACCAACCUAUGGUCACAUGAAAGUAUUUGGUUGCUUGUGUUUUGCUUCAACUAUUUCACAAGGCAGAACUAAAUUUGAUUCCCGAGCUAGAAAAUCCGUCUUUCUUGGCUAUCCUUUUGGUGUUAAGGGAUACAAGUUGUUUGACCUUGAUACCAAGACCUUUUUCAUCUCACGAGAUGUUGUUUUUCAUGAAAUAGUCUUCCCCUUCCACACCAUCACACUUGACAACCUGCCGCCAGAAACUACUAACAACAAUAAUUUCUGUCAACUUUCUCCUCAACCAUUUCCUUCUAAUGUUGAGCAGAUUAAUUCAGAUUUUUCUCCUUCUCAAUCUUCAAACUUAACACCUUUAGAUCCUCCUUCUACUCCUGUCUUCAUUAAUAGCCCUGUUCAAACUUCUGAGGUAGUUGCUUCCUCUCCUACUUCUGAUUUACCUCAUACUACAGAAGAAAUCACCCAAGAACAAUCACCUAUCCGCAAGUCAACAAGAGUUAGAAGAGCACCACAGUACCUGCAGGACUUUCAUUGUCAACAAGUGCACUUCACUUCUCCAGACCAAUCAUUGACCAGGCAAUUGUCUUCCAAUACAGGUACAAAUUUUCCUUUAACCAAUUCCUUAUCAUAUCAUCGUUUAUCUCGUAAUUAUGCUGCUUUUUCAACUUCUAUUUGCUCUCAAAUUGAUCCUCAAACAUAUCAUCAAGCUGUUAAGGAUCCGGGUUGGUGUGAGGCUAUGAAGGCUGAAUUGGAUGCUCUUGAACUCAAUCAGACUUGGGAAUUAACUGAUCUGCCACCUGGUAAGGAACCAAUAAAGUGUAAGUAUGUUUACAAGACCAAAUUUAAUUCAGAUGGGACGGUUGAAAGGUUAAAGGCCAGAUUAGUGGCCAAGGGCUAUACACAACAAGAAGGGAUUGACUAUCACGAAACUUUUUCUCCAGUAGCCAAAAUGGUCACAGUUCGUUGUCUCCUUGCACUUGCUGCCAUACAUGGCUGGCAUUUGCAACAAUUUGAUGUUAAUAACGCUUUCCUUCAUGGGGAGCUAGAAGAGGAAAUUUAUAUGUGUAAACCCCCUGGUUAUAACAAAGGAAAACCCGAACAAGUGUGCAAACUGCUCAAAAGCUUAUAUGGCCUUAAGCAGGCAUCUCGCCAAUGGUACUCCAAAUUUUCAGACUCACUUAUACACUUUGGUUUUCAACAGUCCAAAUCAGAUUAUAGCUUAUUCACUAUGAUCAAAGAAGAUGUUUUUACUGCCUUAUUGGUUUAUGUGGAUGAUAUUGUGGUUGCUAGUAACUCCAUUGAUUGUAUUAAUUCUCUCAAAGUGUUCUUGAAUACUGAGUUUAAGAUUAAGGAUCUUGGUGCCCUUCGUUAUUUCCUUGGUAUUGAAGUGGCAAGAUCCAUAAAAGGGAUUCAUUUAUGUCAAUGGAAGUAUACACUUGACAUACUAGCAGAUUCAGGUACCCUUGGUUCCAAGGCAGCUAAACUUCCCAUGGACCAAAAUAUCAAGCUUAGCAAAGAAUCAGGGUGUAUUCUUUCUGAUCCAAGCAUUUAUAGAAGACUUGUAGGAAGGUUAUUGUAUUUAACUAUUACAAGACCUGACAUUAGCUAUUCGGUGCAAGUACUCAGUCAGUUCAUAUCUAAGCCAACUGAUCUUCACCUACAAGCUGCCCACAAAGUACUGAAAUAUCUAAAAGGUAGUCCUGGCCAGGGUAUUUUACUUUCUUCUUCAUCCCCUUUGCAAUUAAAUGGCUACUGUGAUUCUGAUUGGGCUUCAUGUCCAGACACUCGACGCUCUAUCACUGGCUUCUGCAUUUUCUUGGGCAACUCUCUUAUAUCUUGGAAAUCUAAGAAACAAUCAAUUGUUUCUCGCUCAUCUGCAGAAGCAGAGUAUCGGGCAAUGGCAACAAUUGUUUCUAAGUUUACUUGGAUUAAACAAUUGUUAAAAGAUCUGCACAUUUCUCAUUCGUCUGCUGCAAUUCUUCACUGCGACAAUCAAGCAGCUCUGCAUAUUGCUGCCAAUCCAGUAUUCCACGAACGUACUAAACAUAUAGAGGUUGAUUGCCAUCUCAUUAGAGACAAAAUUCAGGAAGGUAGUAUCAUCACAACUCAUGUACCAACUCAUUCACAACUGGCCGACAUCUUCACUAAGGCUCUCUCUUCUUCUGUUCUUACUACUCUCCUCUCCAAGAUGGGAAUAGUAAAUAUCUAUUCUCCAUCUUGCGGGGGGUAUUGGAUUUCACGUAGAUCCCUGACUCAGCUUACAUUAUGAGGGCUAUUUUGGGAAUUUUAUUUAUUUUUUUUUUUCUGUUAGCUUCUUGUUAAUCAGUUUUGUAUUUGUCAAUUUUCU